CUUCAGAGACAGCAUCUUCAACACUGGAAGAAAUUGUGGCUGGUUUACAAAAUCUUACAUGUUAUGUGAUCUACCUGCUGAUGGGAUUUAUGAGAGGAGAGGAACAGCCAUGAGUUCAACUGCAGCAGCAACUGGAUUGGUUCUCUUCCUUCUCUCUCUGCCAGUGGUACAGAGUCAGAAUGAUUAUGGAGUGACUUACACUUUUACUCAGAUCUGUGCUGUAAAAGGAUCAACAGUGGUCAUAGGCUGCUCCUUCAAAUACCCUUCAAGAGUAAAUGUGUUAAAAAGAGUUUGGUUCACUAAAUGGAACAAUUAUAACCCUGAAGAUCUGAAAACAGACUCGGUGUAUGCAGGUCGAGUGUCGUACAGUUCUCACUGGAAGAGCUGCACUCUGACAAUCAGAGACCUGAGAGAGAGCGACUCAGCUGUGUACAAGUUCAGGUUUGAAACAGACCAGAAAAGUUUUACUGGUUUACCUGGAGUCACUCUGACUGUCACAGCUCUUCAGGUACACGUGAAGACAGCAUCAUAUUCUAGCUGGGCAACACUGACUUGUCAGAGCAGUUGUCGACUACAUGAGCGUCCCUCCUACAUCUGGUACAAAAAUGGACAGAAAAUUUCUACUCAGUCACACCAGAAUUUGUAUCCAGACAAUCUGAAUCCUUCAGAUAGCUACU